UACAGAGGUCUCAAGCGUUGUUCGGAUUCAUUGGGCGUAAAGGGUGCGUAGGUGGUGGGGUAAGUCGGAUGUGAAAUCCCGGGGCUCAACCCCGGAACUGCAUUCGAAACUGCCUUGCUCGAGUACUGGAGAGGAGACUGGAAUUUACGGUGUAGCAGUGAAAUGCGUAGAUAUCGUAAGGAAGACCAGUGGCGAAGGCGAGUCUCUGGACAGUUACUGACACUGAGGCACGAAGGCCAGGGGAGCAAACGGA
rnacentral:rRNA from 1 species